rnacentral:lncRNA from 1 species
AUGUUUCGAGAUAAGCAAAAGAAGGAUAAUAGAACAUUCACAUUUUUGUCCUUCUAAUUUUCGGCCCACUCAUCCAGCCCAAACUCCUUUUAUUUACGUAUGCAUGUUAUAUUGUCAGAAUGUUCCCCAAAAGCAAACCCUAAUUCACCUCACUAGCAAUCAAACGCUGCUGCCUCCCCUUCUCCUUUCUUUUGUUCACGCUAACAAGGCACAAGCAAUCCAAGGUUCGUUCGGUUCGCAAGCUCUAGCGAUCCAUCACCCCUUCUAAACUCGGACGUGACUGACCGACCUUGACUGUGAGCUAUUUUUAAGAGUCAAACCGAGCAAACCAAGGUCGUUAGGUGCGUAGAUGGAGCUUGCACGAGGAGGAGAGGUCGUUGUGGGACAUGGACUGUUGAGUUCCAUGUUAAACUUAUGAACUUUUAACUUAUGUUUUGGGUUUUGAACUUUAUGCUUCCGCUGAUAACUUUAACUUGGUUGAAUUGUUUUGACACCAAUUAUAUUGUUUGGAUUGGACUUUUAUUUACUUAAUUUAUAUUGUUCAAUAUGAU